GACGAACGCUGGCGGCGUGCUUAACACAUGCAAGUCGAACGGAAAGGCCCUGCUUUUGUGGGGUGCUCGAGUGGCGAACGGGUGAGUAACACGUGAGUAACCUGCCCUUGACUUUGGGAUAACUUCAGGAAACUGGGGCUAAUACCGGAUAGGAGCUCCUGCUGCAUGGUGGGGGUUGGAAAGUUUCGGCGGUUGGGGAUGGACUCGCGGCUUAUCAGCUUGUUGGUGGGGUAGUGGCUUACCAAGGCUUUGACGGGUAGCCGGCCUGAGAGGGUGACCGGCCACAUUGGGAUUGGGAAACGGCCCAGACGCCACGGGAGGCAGCAGUGGGGAAUAUUGCACAAUGGGCGGAAGCCUGAUGCAGCAACGCCGCGUGCGGGAUGACGGCCUUCGGGUUGUAAACCGCUUUCGCCUGUGACGAAGCGUGAGUGACGGUAAUGGGUAAAGAAGCACCGGCUAACUACGUG
rnacentral:rRNA from 1 species